rnacentral:rRNA from 1 species
UACGGAGGGUGCAAGCGUUAUCCGGAUUCACUGGGUUUAAAGGGUGUGUAGGCGGGCGUUUAAGUCAGUGGUGAAAUCUCCAGGCUCAACCUGGAAACUGCCAUUGAUACUAUUCGUCUUGAAUAUCGUUGAGGUAGGCGGAAUAUAUCAUGUAGCGGUGAAAUGCUUAGAUAUGAUAUAGAACACCGAUUGCGAAGGCAGCUUGCUAAACGAUGAUUGACGCUGAGGCACGAAAGCGUGGGGAUCAAACAGGAUUAGAAACCCGAGUAGUCC